rnacentral:rRNA from 1 species
UUACUUGACACAGGAUACUACCUACAACACUGGGUACAUAAGGGUGUUACUAAUAAAGUGGGCCUAAAAGCAGCCACCUUAUAAAAGCGUUAAAGCUUAACUUACACUACCCCAGAUACCUUUAAUUUAUUUUAACCCUUCACUACUACUGAAUUAUUUUAUAAUUACUAUAAAAGAUAUUAUGUUAGAACUAGUAACAAGAAAUUUUUUCUCCUAAAUGUAAACAUAAACCAGGACUGGACCCUCCACUGGUAAUUAACGUAAAUGAUAAAAUUAUAGUAACACCCAUCAAGAAUACCCUAUAACUUACUAACGUUAACCUAACACUAGGACAUUACAGGAAAGAUUAAAAGAGAAAGAAGGAACUCGGCAAACUUUAGCCCCGCCUGUUUACCAAAAACAUCGCCUCUUGACUGAAGAUAAGAGGUCCAGCCUGCCCAGUGACUAAAUUAAACGGCUGUGGUACUCUGACCACACAAAGGUAGCGUAAUCACUUGUUCCAUAAAUGGGGACUUGUAUCAACGGCAUCACGAGGGCUGUACUGUCUCCUUUCUCCAAUCAGUGAAACUGAUCUUCCCGUGAAGAAGCGGGAAUUAACUA